UGUACACGCUGUGACUAGCAUAUCAAUAAGCGGAGGAAAAGAAACUAACAAGGAUUCCCUUAGUAACGGCGAGUGAAGCGGGAAGAGCUCAAAUUUGAAAUCUUCAAGGUUUUACCUUGACGAAUUGUAGUUUAAAGAAGUGUUUUCUGCUGAAGUUUUGGUAAAAGUUCUUUGGAAUAGGACGUCAUAGAGGGUGAGAAUCCCGUAUUUGACCAUUAUUUUCAGCUUUGUGAUACACUUUCAAAGAGUCGGAUUGUUUGGGAAUGCAGUCCAAAAUGGGUGGUAAAUUUCAUCUAAAGCUAAAUAUUGGCGAGAGACCGAUAGCGAACAAGUACCGUGAGGGAAAGAUGAAAAGAACUUUGAAAAGAGAGUUAAAUAGUACGUGAAAUUGUCAAAAGGGAAGCGUUUAACACCAGUGUUGUUUUCUGAAAAUCAACCUCUGUUAGCUUUAUGCAUGUUUGUUUAGUCCUAAUCAGCUAUCUUUCAUGUUCUAUUGUUUGCAGUGGUGCACUUUUCAGUUUACAGGUCAACAUCAGUUUUUUUUACCGUAAAAAAGUUAAAGAAAGGUAGCUCAUGGCUCCGGUCGUGAGUGUUAUAGUCUUUUUCCUAUGCGGUAGGAGAGACUGAGGUCUGCAGUGUAGGCUAUUUGGCUAGAUACUCAGGUGCUAUGUGAUACCAUUUCAUAAACAACUUGUUGAUCAUGUUUUGUCUAUUGCAUACUCGCUUGUACUAUCAUACCUACGCUUAGGAUGUUGAGUAGCGACAUACGCAC
rnacentral:rRNA from 1 species